rnacentral:rRNA from 1 species
UACGGAGGGGGCUAGCGUUGUUCGGAAUUACUGGGCGUAAAGCGCGCGUAGGCGGCUUUGUAAGUUAGAGGUGAAAGCCCGGGGCUCAACCCCGGAACUGCCUUUAAGACUGCAUCGCUUGAAUCCAGGAGAGGUGAGUGGAAUUCCGAGUGUAGAGGUGAAAUUCGUAGAUAUUCGGAAGAACACCAGUGGCGAAGGCGACUUACUGGACACAUAUUGACGCUGAGGUGCGAAAGCGUGGGGAGCAAACAGG